GACGAACGCUGGCGGCGUGCUUAACACAUGCAAGUCGAACGGAAAGGCCCUGCUUUUGUUGGGUUCUCGAUUGGCGAACGCGUGAGUAACACGUGAGUAACCUGCCCUUGACUUUGGGAUAACUUCACGAAACUGGGGCGAAUACCGCAUAGGAGCUCCUGCUGCAUGUGGGUCAUUGGAGAGUUUCGGCUGUUGGGGAUGGACUCGCGGCUUAUGAGCUUGUUUGUGUGGUAGUGGCUUACCAAGGGUUAGACGGGUAGCCGGCAUGAGAGCGUUAACGGGCACCUUGGGCCUGAGGUACGGAGCAGAAGCCUAUGGGACGCAGUAGUGGAGAAUAUUGCACAACGGGCGGACGUCUGAUGCAGCAACGCCGCGUGCGGGAUGAUGGCCUUCGGGUUGUAAACAGAUUUGGAAUGUGACGAAGAGUGCGUGACGGUAAUGGGUAAAGAAGCACCGGCUAACUACGUG
rnacentral:rRNA from 1 species